AACCUGCGGAAGGAUCAUUACCGAGUGCGGGCCCCUCGGGGCCCAACCUCCCACCCGUGUUGCCCGAACCUAUGUUGCCUCGGCGGGCCCCGCGCCCGCCGACGGCCCCCCUGAACGCUGUCUGAAGUUGCAGUCUGAGACCUAUAACGAAAUUAGUUAAAACUUUCAACAACGGAUCUCUUGGUUCCGGCAUCGAUGAAGAACGCAGCGAAAUGCGAUAACUAAUGUGAAUUGCAGAAUUCAGUGAAUCAUCGAGUCUUUGAACGCACAUUGCGCCCUCUGGUAUUCCGGAGGGCAUGCCUGUCCGAGCGUCAUUGCUGCCCUCAAGCCCGGCUUGUGUGUUGGGCCCCGUCCCCCCCGCCGGGGGGACGGGCCCGAAAGGCAGCGGCGGCACCGCGUCCGGUCCUCGAGCGUAUGGGGCUUCGUCACCCGCUCUAGUAGGCCCGGCCGGCGCCAGCCGACCCCCAACCUUUAAUUAUCUCAGGUUGACCUCGGAUCAGGUAGGGAUACCCGCUGAACUUAA
rnacentral:rRNA from 1 species